AUUGAACGCUGGCGGCAGGCCUAACACAUGCAAGUCGAACGAGUGGCGGACGGGUGAGUAAUGUCUGGGAAACUGCCUGAGGGAGGGGGAUAACUACUGGAAACGGUAGCUAAUACCGAAUACAAUCAGAUGGGCCCAGAUGGGAUUAGCUAGUUGGUGGGGUAACGGCUCACCAAGGCGACGAUCCCUAGCUGGUCUGAGAGGAGGACCAGCCACACUGGAACUGAGACCCGGUCCAGACUCCUACGGGAGGCAGCAGUGGGGAAGAUUGCACAAUGGGCGCAAGCCUGAUGCAGCCAUGCCGCGUGUGUGAAGAAGGCCUUCGGGUUGUAAAGUACUUUCAUCGGGGAGGCGUUACCCGCAGAAGAAGCACCGGCUAACUCCGUGCCAGCAGCCGCGGUAAUAC
rnacentral:rRNA from 1 species